GACGAACGCUGGCGGCGUGCUUAACACAUGCAAGUCGAAGGUAGUGGCGAAAGGGUGAGUAACACGAGAGGAACCUGCUCUCCUCUUUGGUAGAAGACUGGGAAAAUGGGGCGAAUACUGGAUGGAUUGGGGUGGGGUCGGUGGUGAUCAGCUUGUUGGGGGGGUGAUGGAGUAACAAGGCUGUGACGGGUAGCCGGCCUGAGAGGGGGGUCGGGCACAUUGGGACUGAGAUACGGCCCAGACUCCUACGGGAGGCAGCAGUGGGGGAUAUUGCAGAAUGGACGAAAGUCUGAUGCAGCGACGUCGUGUGGGGGAUGAAGGCCUUCGGGUUGUAAACUUCUUUCGCCCUCGGAAUGGUAGUGGGUCAAGAAGCGCCGGCUAACUACGUGCCAGCAGCCGCGGUAAUAC
rnacentral:rRNA from 1 species